GGGUGCGACGCUGCCUCUCUCCUCCUCCCUGAGGUAGCGUCCGAAAUACCGAAGGGUCCCUCUCCUCCUCCCUGGGGCCCGAGGUAACAGAGACGGCGGCGCCCCUCCUCCUCCCUGGGCGCCGCCGUUUUCU
rnacentral:ncRNA from 11 species